rnacentral:ncRNA from 1 species
CCUUGGGGAGCCGAAAGGCUGAGAGACUACUGUCGACCCAUUGAACCUGCACCAGGUAAUUCUGGCGAAGGGAAGGAGU